rnacentral:misc_RNA from 1 species
GAUGAAGAACGCAGCGAAAUGCGAUAAGUAAUGUGAAUUGCAGAAUUCAGUGAAUCAUCGAAUCUUUGAACGCAUCUUGCGCUCCUUGGUAUUCUGAGGAGCAUGCCUGUUUGAGUGUCAUUAAAUUCUCAACUACACAGACUUUGAAUUGGUGUGGCUUGGAUUUGGGGGGAAAAUUGUUGUGGGCUUUUUGUAUAGUCUGCUCCCCUGAAAUUGAUUAGCGGUACCUUUGUGGAACUGUCUACAGGUGUGAUAAUUAUCUACAUCUUAGACAUCUGCUGGAAUGCUGCUUUCUAAACCUUACUUGUAUUGACAAUCUUGACCUCAAAUCAGGUAGGACUACCCGCUGAACUUAAGCAUAUCAAUAAGCGGAGGA